AGUGAACGCUGGCGGUAGGCCUAACACAUGCAAGUCGAACGGCAGCACAGUAAGAGCUUGCUCUUACGGGUGGCGAGUGGCGGAAGGGUGAGGAAUACAUCGGAAUCUACUUUUUCGUGGGGGAUCACGUAGGGAAACUUACGCUAAUACCGCAUACGACCUACGGGUGAAAGCAGGGGAUCUUCGGACCUUGCGCGAUUGAAUGCGCCGAUGUCGGAUUAGCUAGUUGGCGGGGUAAAGGCCCACCAAGGCGACGAUCCGUUGCUGGUCUGAGAGGAGGGUCGGCCACACUGGAACUGGGACAGGGUCCAGAGUCCUAAGGGAGGGAGCAGACUGCAAUGGUGGACAAUGGGCGGAAACCUUAUCCAGCCAGACCGCGCGGGUGAAGAAGGCCUUCGGGUUGUAAAGCCGUUUUGUUGGGAAAGAAAAGCAUCAGGUUAAUACCCCGCUGUUCUGACGGUACCCAAAGAAUAAGCACCGGCUAACUUCGUG
rnacentral:rRNA from 1 species